AUGGUUGCUAUCUUUUUAGAGAGGAUAGGAUUAAAAGGGAAUCCGGUGUAAAUCCGGAGCUGUUCCCGCAACUGUGAGCUUUGCCCGUGGGUGGCCGACAUUACUUCAAAACCACUGAUUAGAUUCAGUUCUAAUUGGGAAGGUAAAUGACGGUACGCAAGUCAGGAGACCUGCCAAAUUCUUU
rnacentral:ncRNA from 1 species